UCCCUACGGGGGGCAGCAGUGGGGAAUAUUGCACAAUGGGGGAAACCCUGAUGCAGCAACGCCGCGUGAGUGAAGAAGUAUUUCGGUAUGUAAAGCUCUAUCAGCAGGGAAGAGAAUGACGGUACCUGACUAAGAAGCCCCGGCUAACUACGUGCCAGCAGCCGCGGUAAUACGUAGGGGGCAAGCGUUAUCCGGACUUACUGGGUGUAAAGGGCGCGUAGACGGCUGGCCAAGUCUGAAGUGAAAGCC
rnacentral:rRNA from 1 species